UUUUGUAUUAAUACAUCGUUUUAAGACACUUUGUAUAUUUAUAAAGAUAUAAGGAACGAUUUCGCCUCAAAUCGAUCCUUAUAUAUCUUGUUAUCUCUUACAUGUAGAAUUUUACCCUCAAACCGCCGAGGUCACUUGCGGGCGAGGCGCUACAUUUGACAUAUCAACACAAAUUCGUCAACUUUGAAGGAUUUAUGUUUCUAUCAGGUCAAGUUUGUAUAAAGUAAAGACUAAGAAAGUAGUCUUAUUUAAGAGACUGUCCUGAGACUUUGAUAUGUUUGUCAGAAAACUGUACUUUUUUAACAAACAACGGGUGUCAUAGAUCCCUGAGCAGGUAAGGUAUGGUUUGCAGGAGAAGUAGCGAUAAAAAUGUUGGUUAUACUAAAAGUAAGUAAUAACCAAACGUGAUUUCUAAAAGUACUCAUAUAGAACGCUACUCAAAUAGCGGAUAAAUCGAGAUAAACACUUAAAUGUACACAAAUAUAAGAAACAUGUCAUGACUUGUUUGAUUGAAGUAUUAUUUACAUCUCAACUUUGAUAUAAUUUCUUAAUUUAUUUUAUUUUACCAUGAGUGUGUUUCACAAAGAUUAGUUGAUACCUUCCAGCUUCAAUUUGUUUGAAAAUUCCCAAUAAACAAUUAAAACUUAUUUAUAUUAAUCACCACAAAAUUGUCGAGAUGAUUCACAAUUUACAUUUUGAUAAGAUAUUACUCAAAAAAAAAGAAUCAUUUCCUCGGUUUUAACAUUAAUAAUUUCUAGAAUAUUCUAGAAGGAUACAUUAUUCAAUUUAAAAAGAGAGGAGAAGAUAAGAGACGGUAAGAAAGGAAGAAAGGCCUCGAAAAAAGCGUGUUUGAACGUGUUUAAAGAGUCUCGUUUAUGUUCUAGAAUUUUAAGGAGAAAUAACAAUUUUAUCAGCAAGAAAUUAAUAAAUUUGUUUAAAAACAAUUACGAAACGAAUUAAUCUUUUUUUUAACUGUUUUAAAACCUUGCACAAUUAAGGUUUAAAACACAAUCUUCAAGGUUUCUAUGACUAAUCCGAAUCGAUACAUAUUUUGAAAUUAAAUCCCAUUUAAAUAAAAAUAUUUAAAAACGAUAAAUCGACGUCAUUAAACGGUUAAUAUCAUCAUCAACGUCUUUUUGAGACGUGCACAACGUGGUUGUCGUCACGUACUUGUUAUCUCUGCACCGUUUUAACAUUUUUAUUCCUUUGUAAUUUUUUCUUUCUUUUGUAGCUCUUCCAACCAAAGCAAAAAAGAUACAAUUAACGUGGAUUAAAGUACGACCUCGCUUUUUUCCCUCUUUUUAACUAAGCAUUAUCACAGAAUGACUCAUUAUUGUAAAACGUGCUUAUUAACUCGUAUAAUGCGGCAAGUAGUCACUAACUAAAAAUGUUGCAUCAGAUAUUUUUCAGCUUAUCUUUAGAUGUUGAGGUUGCAUCAGAAUCUUAAUUUAAAUUAAUUUUUAGGUUAUGUUUAAUUUUAAUUUGACGUUUCAAGGUUAUAUAAAAUUUUUUUUUUCUUAAGUUUGUAGUAACUAUAAUCCCGUUUUGUUUUUGUUUUUAAUGAGACGCCGUAUUUCGUGGAAGAAUUGCGAUUUUUAAAACCGGGGUGAUUCUAACCUGUAAAAUUUUUUUGGUGCUUUCAAGUUGGUAUCAGUUAUCAAUAAUUAGUGGUCCGUGCCUAAUUCUGCCUGUCUUAUUACCUUCACAUCUUGUACUGGAUAUCUAAAAAAAAAAACAUCUCAUCGAUUUCUAUUAAUAAAAUGGAUAAGUGGAAAACAUCAUCUGUUACAUAUCUUUAUGACAAAACGGCAGCUGUUUGCCGUCUAAAUAUUCAUCUGCAUUGAAUGGAACGCCGUGAAUGGAGGUUACUCGAAGAAACGAGUUGUUCAUUCCAUUUCUGUAAAACCCGAAACUCCAAGUGUGGAUAAAUGGAUUCGAUGAUGAAUGUUUAAAAUUUAUUGGAAUUAAGAAAUGAGUUAAAGAAACUUGAAUUAUAAAAAGAAGAACAAAGGUUUUCGUGCUUGAACACGUUAUGACAAGUUCAUAGCCAGGUUGUAGCUAUUUUUAAGAACAACUCAUGAUUCUCCAUUACAUCUCAACCCGCAAAAUGGGAGAUCUUAAAAGAUAAGGUUCUAGAUGGACACCUGUGAUACGUGCCGUACAAAACGUUUCUACUUUAUAACUCGUUUCUUCUACGCCCCGGGGGCAAAGGAGCCACUCCCGGCGCUUGAUGCCGUCGCUCCUCCGCCAGAUUUAAAAAUAAUUAAAUCUCCGAGGUCAGAAAACAGAGACAACGCCGGUAGAAAAUCAACUUUCUCCGUAACUGGUGUGGCGCCUCAACCCAAUAAACAAAUUCAAGAAACCAGGUCAGAACUACAAAGUACAAAGCAUCAAGAAUCUAAUACGGUUUUCGUGCUUCAACACGUUAUGACAAGUUCAUAGCCAGGUUGUAGCUAUUUUUAAGAACUACUCAUGAUUCUCCAUUAAGCAG
rnacentral:lncRNA from 1 species